CUACGGGUGGCAGCAGUAAAGAAUCUUCCACAAUGGGCGAAAGCCUGAUGGAGCAAUACCGCGUGAACGAUGAAUGUCGAAAGAUUGUAAAGUUCUUUUCUGAGGGAAGAAUUAUGACGGUACCUCAGGAAUAAGCACCGGCUAACUCCGUGCCAGCAGCCGCGGUAAUACGGAGGGUGCAAGCGUUACCCGGAAUCAUUGGGCGUAAAGCGUCCGCAGGCUGUUUGUUAAGUUGGAUAUUAAAUCUUGGGGCCCAACUCCAAGGCUGUGUCCAAAACUGGCAAACUAGAGUCUUUCAGGGGCAUACGGAAUUCUGUGUGUAGGGGUAAAAUCCGUAGAUACACAGAGGAACACCAAAAGCGAAGGCAGUAUGCUGGGAAAGUACUGACGCUCAUGGACGAAAGCGUAGGUAGCGAACGGGAUUAGAUACCCUCGUAGUC
rnacentral:rRNA from 1 species